AUUGAACGCUAGCGGCAGGCCUAACACAUGCAAGUCGAACGAGUGGCGGACGGGUGAGUAAUGUCUGGGCAACUGCCUGAUGGAGGGGGAUAACUACUGGAAACGGUAGCUAAUACCGCAUACCAUCAGAUGUGCCCAGAUGGGAUUCGCGAGUUGGUGGGGUAACGGCUCACCAAGGCGACGAUCCCUAGCUGGUCUGAGAGGAUGACCAGCCAAACUGGAACUGAGACACGUGCCAAACUCCUAAGGGAGGCAGAAGUGGGGAAUAUUGCACAAUGGGCGCAAGCCGGAUGUAGCCAUGCCGCUUGUAUGAAGAAGGCCUUCGGGGUGUAAAGUACUUUCAGCGGGGAGGCGUUACCCGCAGAAGAAGGACCGGCUAACUCCGUGCCAGCCGCCGCGGUAAUUC
rnacentral:rRNA from 1 species